UGCAAGUAAAAAGAAAAUAUGCAUGAGAAAAACAAACCAGUUUUGAAAUAAUAAUAAAGAGACCAUGAUAGAAAAUGAAAUGGGUCAGAAAUGAAUGUUGGCUCUGAAAAGGAUUAGAUCCUUCAACUGAUGAAUUUCAGCUCUGUCACUGAUAAUUUGACACUAGCUACCAGUAUAAAGCUCCUUUAUGUACUGUCAAGUAACUGUCUUCAAGUUACAUGCUUCCCAGUGUCGGUUUCAUCACGAUGCCUGAACACUCCAGGUGACCGUCAUAUAUGACUGAUAGAAGGACCUCGACUGCAAAAGAAAGGGUCCAUUGUGAGUGCAGAAACUUCAGUGUAAUCCUAAGUAGUCUGCAGAAUAGAAAAGAAAACUGUCCUAAAUACAUUGUUCAGAUGUACUUACUUAGUGGACUGAUUGUAGCUUGACUACUCUAGUGUUACUCAUGAUUGAAUACUACUGGAUAAAUCUUGCACUGGAAAAAACAAAAAGAUGCUGUUUAACUUUCAUUGAUCUGUUUUCAUUACAGUGAAAUUUGAUCUAUUUAUAUUUUUUUUUUCUAAGGUGUAAGGUGUAAGGAGUCAUUGUAACAUUCCAGUUCACUUUAUCCAGCAGGAUAUCUAAAUAAUAUGGAAUGUCUCAAGAGUCAGUCCAUAAUUAUUGCUGAGAAUCAGUGAGUGUUGUUUCUUGUUUUCUGGUAUGAUAGAAACUCAUUGCCUAAUAUCUAAUUAAAAAUAGUUGUUCUCA